UCGUGUGUCGGUAAGUGCGCGUCGGUUCGUGAUCGCGAACAAAUUUUGUGAAAAAGUAAGAAAUUAAUCAAUUAGUGCAGUUUUCUGAGUAUUAUAUUAAAAUUAUUUGAAUUUGUGAAUGUGCAGUGAUAAGUGUGUGUUAAUUAAUUGAAGAGAAAGUGUGCAAAUGCAAUGUAGCAAAGCAAAGCAGAAUGUGUUGGUUUGGCAAACAUGUGUCAGCAUGCCCGUGUGAAAAAUGUGCUUUUGCUCGAAGGUUCCUAAUUGCGCGCUGUGCUAUGUAUAGUAGUAAAUCUAAGUUUAGUGAGAAAUUUAUCAAUAUUGGUGAUAUUAAAUUGUGUUUAUUGUUCGAUCGUUGCGUUUAAAAUAUCCGACGUAUGUUUAAUCGAAAGAAAUUAAAUAUGUACAUAUAUACAUAUGUAUGUAUGUGCAGUAAACAAAAGUUACAGCAGUCUGCCUUAUGAUACGUUGGCAACACUAUAAUGCAAAUCGCUGCAUAUUCUUGGUCGCUGAGCAAUGUAUUUAUUUGCGGCUAAGCAGUGGAUUUCCGUACACGCUUACAAACAUAUGUACAUUCGUGCACGUAAGCACGUAUAUUUGCGCACACGUUUAUAAGUGCGUGCGGAAUAAAAUUUCACCAUACACUCGUUUAUAUCCCGAGGAAAGCUGAGUGUAGUGCAACGUGAAGUGAGCGACAGUAGAAACACAACGCAUCAGAAAAAAAACUGUUUAAUGAAAACAUCAGUGAAGCACGGCGCAGGAGAAGCGGGUUUUCCGUGCUUUGGCGCCUGCGAUACGCCCUCUUCAGUCGACGGCAAUGUACUGAGUGCUUAGCCAAACAAUCGGCGUCUGGAGUGCUGCUAGUCUGAGCCGCCGACGAUACACUCGCCUGUUGCACAGUCGAACGCACUUGAACGCAACAAAAAGAAAAAAAACAACCAAAAACAACAACGAAACAAGGCAUAUAAAAAGCAACAACAAAACAAGGCAUAUCAAGCGUAACAAGAACAACACGAAAUAUUCGCUGUAAUGUAACACUAUCGCCUCAGUGCCGAAAACCCCACUACGUUGGCGAAUGUAUUGUAUGUGUAUGUAUGUAUAUGAAAGCGUGCAAGUGUGUGUUAGUGUGCGUGCGUUAUCAACCCCACAAGCUAAAUCCGCCAUGCAUACAAACACACACGUUUGUGUACACUUGCAUGCCUGUUCGGCCGUGAGGGCACAGCACGUUCGUGUCUGCUACGAAAAUGGCUAACAGGAGGCAGAGAUAACAGAAAAAAACGAUAAGGCGUGUUCACUGUGUAAUGAAGAGAAUAUCUGUAUGUAAAUUUUCAUACAUACAAAUGCAUUAAAAAUAAAUGAAUAAACGAUAAUUAAAAAAAAUUAAUAAUACAAAAAUUUUAAAAAUAAAAA